rnacentral:lncRNA from 1 species
UGAAGAGUUGUAGGGCCCUGAGGCCUCUGAGGGGCAAGAUCCAUCUGUGCCUCACCAGGUGUCUUGAAAGAUGAGUUUCCAGCACCUGCUGGACGUCAGGAUCUAGCAAGGGAAGCCGAGGAGAAGUAUCUUUGAAGGUGGACCCAUCAUUCAACGACUUCUGCUUCUCCGUUUUGAUAUUUGUUUCUGGUUUUUCAAUUUCUGAGUUGUCCAAAUGGGUCUCUGAGUUUUCACGACGGACCACCAUGUGGUCCCCCGGAAUUCCAGGGCAAGUGCCCACAGGCACCUUACUGUCAUUGUCAUGGCUGUGCUCACUGAAGUGGUUCCUCAGUGUGUCUUGUAGCUGCUGCUCUCCUGGUCCUCCUGGCUGGGGACCUGCUGAGUUGCUUCUUGGCUGUCUCACAGAGUUCUCCAACUCUGUCACAGCGAUCGAGUCUAGAACUGUGCCCAGUGAUCCCUCUGUGAUCCCAUCAGUAUCUCUCAGAGGUCUUCCCGGACCGUUUGUCAGAUCGCAGCAUGGGUCCUUCCCUGUCUGGAGUAUCUCUGGACCUUUUGCUGAGACCCUCUGUGCAUGCGGGCUGCUUUUUCCUGCCAGUGCUGAGGAACAUGAAGUCCCUCGAUUAUCUUCUGCAUGACCCAUCCCUGGGAGUUUGUCCUCAGACUUCAUGAGAUAAGUAGAUAGCUGGAUCUUUUGGUCCUCAUGUUUCCAGAACCUGGUUUUUAAGUGUUGCUCUAGGUGCUCUUUGAGCUGGGGGUCAGUGAAAUCCUUCAGGAAGUGGAGAACAGAGUCUUGUCCCUGGGAAGCUAAACUGGUGGAAAUGAGUUGAUGAGAGACUUCUUGUGACAUUUUCACUACACUAGGUAAAUCGCUCCUACUUUCUUGGUUCUUCUUCAAAAGGUGCUGAUCUAGGUGUUGAACAGCAACUGGGAAAAUAAGUUGGGAUUUUGAAUCUAUGGGGCAGGAAGCCCUGGAAUCCCUAGUUGGAGGUGGAUCGGGUUGUAGGCUUGGGAGGGAGGUUGGGUCAGGGGCCAGGGUUUUGACUUCAGACCCUGGUGGAGAACGGGGGCAUGGCACGUUUGUAGUCAGAGGAUUGGAAGGGACCAAGUGUUGAAGCAAGGGCUUUGGAGAGAAGAGCAGUGGAGCUGCAUUCCUCUCAGCUUGUCUUAAGUUGUAAGGAGAGAGUUCAUUGAAAAAGAUGGCAGGGGAGUCGAGUGGUGAGCCCACCAUGCUGACAGUAGCCAUAAGGGACUCACUGUGAAGAAAGGGGAGGCCUCAGUAAAGCUGCGUGCAGUCCUUCUGAGACUUGUUCCAGAAGACCCUGGGGGAAAAGAGCUGAUGGAGACCUGAGAGCUGCUCUGACUUGCAGGUGAUGGCCUGCUCGCUGCUCCAGGACUGCAGCAUAUCACCCACACAGCUCAAGGCGUGGUCAAAGCUCUCCCUUCCUUGCUCUUUCCAGAGCUUCAGUUCUACCCUCUUGCUAAUCUGCA